ACAAGUAUUAGCCUUUCAAAAAGGGCUAUAGUCGACUCUUAGCUGAGGAAAAUGGAAAGUGCUCUCGCUUUGUAGAUUAAUUCAUUCACUAGAAUAGCCACGUGCAUCAAUCAACAAAUUUUACCACACACGUGAGGUCACACGUUUUGAAGUAGUAUAUAUCGUUUACGAAACUCCAGAAGAUUCGGCUAUUUAUAGAUAAAAGUUACCUGUGUAUCAAUAUAUUAUGACCAGGCAAAAUCUAAUUGCUAAAAUAGAGAGGACAAAUCCGAUACUCUACGGGAUUGAAGGACAUUUACUAGGUUUGGAUUGUCCUAACCAAUCAAUAAACUUUGAUUAUUCACGUCUCGUAAUAUCUGCCAAUCAGGUAGCAAGAAAAAUUCACG
rnacentral:lncRNA from 1 species